CAACGCCGCCACGCCCACGUACUCCAUCGAAAACAAACGGGGUUGGAAUCCACAACACACCAACAUGUCUUCUGUCUGUGGACACAGUUUCAUGUUGAUUAGGUCAAAGGGGUCAGAUAGCAACUGUUCACA